GCCAGCGUAACCUGCUCCAUGGUUGGAUUGAAAGAGAGACACUUUGAGGCACCUGAAUUUGUUGAAAUGACAAAAAAGGAAAAGAGGAGUCUUCCAUCACACAGUCUGGACUAAAGGAUAUAAUUACCUGAGAGUGGAAGGAUAAAAAAUCUGCAUCCGAGGACACGCACCUGCUCCUGGAGAAGGAUUUUUAGCAGCACUCUGCCUUCCUCAGUCAACAAGUGUGUGUUUGUGUGUGUUAGUAUGUGCGUUCUAUGUGGUCUGUCCUGUUUUUGGAUUUGAUUGUGUGUGUGUGAGAGGUGGCCACAUGGGGCCCUGGCCCUGUCCGGGAUGCCAGCUGCAGCAUUGAAGCCCACUCCGGAGGACAUGGUGGCGGAGGGAGGGGGCGAGGGAGAGCGUGGUGCGUCCCAGUGGGAAGCCUCUGGGCCGGGCCGGGAGCGACUGCCUCUGCCUUCUCUAAAGGUCCCCAGGGAGCUGCUGCGGAGCUUCCCCCACUCCAAACGGGUCGGAUCCUAUCUGGUGGGGAAAAUGAUCAACAAGGGAUCGUUUGCCAAAGUGAUGGAGGGGCUGCACAUCGGCACGGGCGAAAAGGUGGCCAUUAAGGUCAUCGACAAGAAGAAAGCACGGCAGGACUCGUACGUGUUGAAGAACAUGAAGAGAGAACCUCGCAUUCAUCAGAUGGUCCGACAUCCUCACAUUGUCGUCCUGCUGGAGACUCUGGAGACAGAGAACAGCUACUACAUGGCCAUGGAGCUCUGUGCUGGAGGAGACCUGAUGGACAGGAUCUGUGACAGGAAGAGGCUGGAGGAGAGGGAGGUGCGGCGCUACACUCGUCAGAUCCUCUCUGCAGUGGAACACCUGCACAAACACGGCAUUGUACACAGAGAUUUGAAGAUUGAAAACUUCCUGCUGGACGAACACAACAACAUAAAGAUUGUGGACUUUGGCCUCAGUAACACUCUGAAGGCUGAAUCUUUGUCUCUGGAGCUCCUCAACACCCAGUGUGGAAGUCCUGCCUACGCCGCCCCUGAGCUGCUCGCUCACAGGAAGUAUGGGCCCAAAGUGGACGUCUGGUCAGUAGGUGUGAGUAUGUUUGCCAUGCUGACGGGGACUCUGCCCUUCACUGUUGAGCCUUUCAACAUCAAGCAGCUGCACCAGAAGAUGGUCAACGGAGAGAUCAGCAGCAUCCCCAGUGACGUCAGCAAAGGUGCGGUGGCGUUUGUGUUGUCUCUCCUGGAGCCAGACCCGGCAAAGAGACCCAGUAUCAGAGCUGCGAUGGAGGAGAGAUGGAUCAACGAGGGAUAUGCCAAGAAACCACUGCACACACUGUCUCAUAAAAACAGGCUGAGCCCAGAGGAUCUCAACUCGUCUGUGCUGGCGUACAUGACGGAGACGCUGGGCUACUCGCUCUCUGAAAUCAUUCACACGCUCACCAUCAACCGACCGUCCGCCAUCAUGGCCUCCUAUCACCUGCUGCUCAACAAGCUCAGCAGGAGCCAGAAGGGAGCCAAGGCCAGCAAGAAACUGGAAAACAAUGACUGGACUCUUCCGAGCAAGAACACAUGGAGAGAGAGGCACAACACUGACUCAAAGACUCAGCAACAGAGUGAACCAACCAAUGAAAAAGGCUCGAAACAGUCCAGCAGGCCUCUGAGAGCCCAACAGACAGCUGAAUGUCAGAGCAACAAGAAGAGGUCUGAGGAGCUGCACAGGAAGGACCACAGAGAGGACGCAGAGAACCGUCCACCUUCUCCAUCUCUACCCCAGCUUCCUCACUCUGCCUCCCCUUCAAUACCCCCUCGCCUCCCCUCCCCCUCCCCUGCCCCUCUUUCUACAGAGGAUGGAGCCACUGAUGAGGAGAUCGCCAUCACCUUGGACACCAGAGAGACACUGUUUCCUGAAGUGUCUGUGUUCGGAGACAGGGAACUCGUCCAUCUUUCUCCUCCUAAAAGCUCUGCAUCUCAACUCUGUGACUCUGCCCCUUGCCAAGUCCCGUUACCCCCCGAGCCAAUCAGAGACAGCAGCACAUCGAGGCCGAUCCGACACACACACCUGCUCAGGACGACUCAGUCAGACGGGGCGGCAGACCCUGGGUCAGACUGCUUCCACGACAACCGCCACCAGGACGACCACUCUCAUCACCUGAGCAUCAACGAGCGCCUGGAGAAGCUGCAGACGUUUUAUUCUUCAGAGAAGAGCGGCAUCUCUCCCAGGAUGCUGCUGGAGGCCGACACACACACCACACACCCCUCAGACAGAGACCACCUGGGUACCAUGGAGACGACACGGACGUCACCCUCUGCCCCACUGCCCCGCCUGCGCAACGUGGGGCUGAAAGAUGGACGAGGUAGGAAGAUGACAUGGGUAGGGUUGACCCGACCUGGGCCCCCAGGACUCCUGGUGAACGGGUCUAAACCUCCUGCCUUCCCCUCGCAGAGACAACAUACUUUGGUCAUUAAGAGCCUCCGGCAGGAGAGGGGCAAGAGACGGGAUCUGUCGUCAGGAGCAGGAGGAGGAGGAGGAGGAGGAGGAGGAGAGAGAGGGACGGCAGGAGGAGGGCUGAACGGAACAAAGAGGAACUCAGUUCAGUUACGUUCAUCUCUCCAGCGUCGGGUGGCGGACCUGAAUCUGCCGCUGCUUCCUGCAGCCCUGCAGGGGAAGACAGAUAGGAAGAACCAGCUACACAGCAUGGACUACUGAUAGAUGGGAGGACACAAUAGAGAGGCAGUGAUAGAGGCCAGAAAAGGUGCAAUGAGAGGAGAGGAUAGUCCUGAGGUUGGUGACACAUUUAGGAAGCAGUUAAGCAAUUAAAGGUCCAGUGUGUAGGAUUUAGGGGGAUUUAGUGGCAUCUAGCGAUUAGGACUGCAUAUUGCAACCAGCUGAAACUUCUCACGGCUAGAAUUCCUUCAUUGUUCAGGAGGUUUUUACCGAGGGCUGAAAUAUCUGCAGAGGUCUCUUCCUCUACAAAACAAACAGACCAAGUGAUUAAAAAACGAUAAAAACACUGAAUAAAACAGCUGCAUGAUACAAAUUAGUGUUUCUCCGAUGCUGUUCGGCUUGUUAGACACGCCAUUAGCCCAGCACCUGCUAAUGUGUGCUCACCUUUUUUCUUCGAUAACUUAAGAUCCAGACAUUCAGGAGGGUUUUUGCCAGGAGCCAAAUUAUCCACACAGGUCUCCUCCUCUUCAAAAGAAGCAGACCCAGUGAUUUAAACUGGUAAAAACACUGAAAAGAGUUGUGUCACGUAAAAAAAUAAGUGUUUUUUCUAUCCUUUCAUGGAGUGGGGCCGAUGUGAAAACAUAAAUGGCCCUUUAGCUAUGUUUGGUUUGUCCAUUCUGGGCUUUUAUAGAAACAUGGUGGUACAACAUGGUCAUUUCCUGGACCCGCUCCCUGUGUAGGUAUGAACAGCUCAUUCUAAGGUAAUGAAACACAACGGCUUUUAUUUUCAGGUGAUUAUACACUAAAGAAAACAUACUUAUUAGUAUGUCAUAUUCCAUUUCUGUAUAUCCCCCUAAAUCCUACACACAGGACAUUUGAGAAAUACUGGCCUGUAUUAAAAGAAGUGCCUGUUUUAUGUUAGAUUUGUAAAGAAUCUUUGUUUUUUUUGGGUGCCUCCAGUGAACAAAGAAUUCAAAAAUGGAGAAAAUUCAUGAUGAAUAAAAAUAAAUGGGGUCCACGUUUAACAAAGGCAAAACUACGUCAAAAGGGUUCGAAAUUCACCAAAGUCACACAAUAACACAAACAAAGAAAUUGAUCAAGGCAGCAGCAGACCCGCAGCUCCUGUGUUCAGCGAGGUUAAAUUACUGUAAUUUUCAGUCUGGAUUUCCAGAGAGCAUAGAUAAGUUUCACUUAGUUUAGUUCCCUGUCAGAGAGGGUUGUCUGUUUGGGAAGUACUGAGCAUACAACUCGAGAAAUGAGACUUGGAUUAUACUAUACGAGUUGGGUAAGAGUUUGUAAAAUGGAUGUUGCAAUAUAGUUUUGCUGUUGUCAAACACGAAACCCUUUUACUUCAAUUUAUGAAGAAUUGACCUAUGGCUAAGUCCCGCCCUCAGACGCGAUGAGCCAAUCACAGUGCGUAUAGCCAUUCCCAUACACUCGGACAUUCUCUGCCUGGACGUCCAUUGAAAUGCAUUACAGAAAGUCAGUUUUGUUCGGUUUUAUGAGCUUUCUCUGAGAUUUGAAGUUUAAAAAUGGUCAAACGGUGUGCAUGGGGUACAUGCAACUCUGACACAAGGCAUCCUGAGAGGCUGGGCGACGAGGUGUAUUUUUGGGAACUGCCCAUUGGUUCGACACCCCAUUGUUCCGACCAUAUUAAACUCAUUGUUCCGAAGUCUGUUCCGAAAUCAUCAUGAUGCCCUGUGGUUAAGGUCUGGUUAGGUUUAGGCACAAAAAACACUUGGUUAGGGUCAGGAAAAGAUCAUGGUGUGGGUUAAAAUGAAAAAGAAAGUGACAAACACAUAAGCCGUG